rnacentral:rRNA from 1 species
GAUGAAACGCUGGCGGCGUGCUUAACACAUGCAAGUCGAGCGAAGCACUUGAACGGAUUUCUUCGGAUUGAAGUUUUUGUGACUGAGCGGCGGACGGGUGAGUAACGCGUGGGUAACCUGCCUCAUACAGGGGGAUAACAGUUAGAAAUGGCUGCUAAUACCGCAUAAGCGCACAGGACCGCAUGGUCUGGUGUGAAAAAACCUCCGGGUGGUAUGAGAUGGACCCGCGUCUGAUUAGCUAGUUGGAGGGGUAACGG